rnacentral:rRNA from 1 species
UACGGUAGGGGGCUAGCGUUGUCCGGAAUCAUUGGGCGUAAAGAGCGUGUAGGCGGUCCGGUAAGUCCGCUGUGAAAGUCGGGGGCUCAACCCUCGAAUGCCGGUGGAUACUGUCGGGCUAGAGUGCGGAAGAGGCGAGUGGAAUUCCUGGUGUAGCGGUGAAAUGCGCAGAUAUCAGGAAGAACACCCGUGGCGAAGGCGGCUUUCUGGGACGGUACUGACGCUGAGACGCGAAAGCGUGGGGAGGCGAACAGG